rnacentral:rRNA from 1 species
CAGUCAUGAGCUAAAAGUUAAUACAACUUUCAACAACGGAUCUCUUGGCUCUCGCAUCGAUGAAGAACGCAGCGAAAUGCGAUAAGUAAUGUGAAUUGCAGAAUUCAGUGAAUCAUCGAAUCUUUGAACGCACCUUGCGCUCCUUGGUAUUCCGAGGAGCAUGCCUGUUUGAGUGUCAUGUUAUUCUCAAUCCCGUCUGCUUUGCGGCCGUCGGGUUUGGAUGUGGAGGCUUGUGCUGGCCCCUCGCGGUCGGCUCCUCUUGAAUGCAUUAGCGGGGCUUAUGCUCGAUGCAACGGUGUAAUACUUUCUUUUCACCGGAGUAACUUGCAAUUGAAAGUCCGCUUCUAAUCGUCUCGCAUGAGACAUUGUAAAGGGAUGGAUUUCUCUUUGACACCUUUGACCUCAAAUCAGGUAGGACUACCCGCUGAACUUAAGCAUAUCAAUAAGCGGAGGAAAAGAAACUAACAAGGAUUCCCCUAGUAACUGCGAGUGAAGCGGGAAAAGCUCAAAUUUAAAAUCUGGCAGCUUCGUUGCCCGAGUUGUAAUCUGGAGAAGCGUUUUCCGCGC